GAAAAAUGCACUUUUCAUCCUCAAAGUUUGGGUCGUUGACCAUUUUCAUCCUCAAAGUUUCACUCAAAACACAUUUCAUCCUCAAAGUAACGUAAUUUUGGCCAAUUAAGGACAAUUGACGGGAAUUGGCAAAUUUAUCGUUAGAACCAACCGUAAACCCAACAAAAAUGGGUAAAACCGAAGGACCAAAAUUAGUUAGCUAAAUUAAAGCUCUACUAUUA
rnacentral:lncRNA from 1 species